AAAGGAAUAGACGGGGGCCCGCACAAGCGGAGGAGCAUGUGGUUUAAUUCGAUGAUACGCGAGGAACCUUACCUGGGCUCGAACGUAAGAUGACCGUAUGUGAAAGCAUAUUUCCCUUCGGGGCAUUUUACGAGGUGCUGCAUGGUUGUCGUCAGCUCGUGCCGUGAGGUGUCGGGUUAAGUCCCAUAACGAGCGCAACCCCUAUCUUUAGUUGCCAACAGGUCAAGCUGGGGACUCUAAAGAAACUGCCUACGCAAGUAGUGAGGAAGGCGGGGAUGACGUCAAAUCAGCACGGCCCUUACGUCCAGGGCUACACACGUGCUACAAUGGCCGAUACAGAGGGCAGCUACCUGGUGACAGGAUGCAAAUCUCCAAAGUCGGUCUCAGUUCGGAUCGAAGUCUGCAACCCGACUUCGUGAAGUUGGAUUCGCUAGUAAUCGCAUAUCAGCCAUGAUGCGGUGAAUACGUUCCCGGGCCUUGUACACACCGCCCGU
rnacentral:rRNA from 1 species